AUGUGCUGCUGUGUACUGGAGGCUAUUGGACCCGAUCUCCCAUUUUGGAAGCAGCUCGCCCUCCUUUGCUGUCAUUUUAGAUCAUCACAUUAUGAAGUGGAAAUUCUGCCUCCUGCUAACAUUGUUUUGCUACAAAUAGCCUCCUUCCUUUGGAGAUCUCUGAGAUUUGGCAGAGAAUGAAGGUGGAGGGGAGAUGCUGAAUCCAUGACACCACCGAAGACAACAGUUGGCCAUUGUUUAAAGAGACAGUGUCUUGCAUUGUGAAACUGAAGAUAUAGGUAAUGGUUCCUGAUCCCCUAGGCUGGCGGCUUGCUUAAGGCAGCUCUAUGGUGUUGCUGGAGGUCCUGUUACGGUGUGGAUCCUGCUCUUCCUGAGAAGCCUGGUGCUAACUCCUGCACGUUUUUGGCAAAUGAGGCAGAAUACAUUCGUGGGGCACAUCAAUGGCAGCAGCCUGCAAAGGGCUCAGGGAGGGCCUAAUCACCUCUUCAGUAGUGGCACAGCUGCCAUGUGGGGAAGGUAGGAGGCUUGAAGCCGAGGGAGAGCUGCUCUGUGGUUGGGACUGCAGGGAUGGGGCUGUCCUCUGCUGAAAGGGCUGGGUUAGGAAAAGCUACAUCCUAGGGCUUGUGGGGCUUUGUCUUGGGUUGCUGCUGCUGCAGUGACCUUUGGGGGAUAGCACCCAGGGGAG
rnacentral:lncRNA from 1 species